GAUGAACGCUGGCGGCGUGCCUAAUACAUGCAAGUCGAGCGAACGGACGAGAAGCUUGCUUCUCUGAUGUUAGCGGCGGACGGGUGAGUAACACGUGGAUAACCUACCUAUAAGACUGGGAUAACUUCGGGAAACCGGAGCUAAUACCGGAUAAUAUUUUGAACCGCAUGGUUCAAAAGUGAAAGACGGUCUUGCUGUCACUUAUAGAUGGAUCCGCGCUGCAUUAGCUAGUUGGUAAGGUAACGGCUUACCAAGGCAACGAUGCAUAGCCGACCUGUGAGGGGGGUCGGCCACACUGGAACUGAGACACGGUCCAGACUCCUACGGGAGGCAGCAGUAGGGAAUCUUCCGCAAAGGGCGAAAGCCUGACGGAGCAACGCCGCGUGAGUGAUGAAGGUCUUCGGAUCGUAAAACUCUGUUAUUAGGGAAGAACAUAUGUGUAAGUAACUGUGCACAUCUUGACGGUACCUAAUCAGAAAGCCACGGCUAACUACGUG
rnacentral:rRNA from 1 species